rnacentral:lncRNA from 1 species
UGAUAUCAAUAAUCAUAUUAAAUUUAAAGCAUACGUGAUAUCAAUAAUCAUAUUAAACUAGUGUAGCAACCCGCGUGAUGCGACGGAUAAAUAAUAGAAGAAAAAACAAAAAAUAUUGAAGAGGGAGAAGAAAGGAGUUUGAAAAAUAAAAAUUCAAGUGUGUUUUAUUUUUCGGUAGGAAAAUGUAUGAAUUGAAGUAACCAAUAUGAUCAUUGAAAAUUGAUAACGGCCCAGAAUUACCAUUCAAAUAAAAAACCUACAAACGUCGAAUGAAGAUGGAGAUGAUAAUGUUACGAUGACAUUGACGAUGGCGAUGAAAAUCUCAUAGAAGUUUGCAGGAUUUUGCACCCUUUUGGGUAUGGGAUGGUCAGAAGUUGCGGGCCAAAACUGCUACAUCAAUUAUGAAAUCAAAAUUAACCUCUAAAUUAAUCAAAAUAAUGCACAUAAAUCAAAUUCUUGAUUGAUACAACCACCAUAUCGAAAAUAAUGCAAAUAAAUUAAAUUCUAAA